UGUUGGUGAAGAUCGUAGGUCCGUGAUUGUCUUCUGGUGACAAGGGCAAUAAGGAGAGAAUUCUCACAACAGGACGUGGGCGAGCUAGCCGGCUGAUGGGGGAUCUGUCCUCCCCAAGUUCUCAGAGAACCCGGAGCACUCUUGCCCUUGAGAGGCACAGCAUCACAGGAUCAACUUGUGACCAGAGGUACUCGGAGCAUUUCCACAGGACACAGCCGGCUCAAGGGCAAGGUCUCCGCCCUUGACCCCAGGUGAUGAUGACCGCCACAGACCCCUGGGGCCCAGACCCCUCCCACAGGGCACCCUGCUCCUGCUCCUGGACAGUAUGUGGAUCCUCAGGGCCUGAAGCUCUGUGUCGUAGCCCAAUGGAACUGCUUCCCAGUCCCAUGCACGCUGUCCGGGAAGAUCCCAUCGCUGCUGCUUAUUCUUCAAGUCCCA